AAAUAUGCAUCGCCUCGUGUUAAACUUUAAUUUCCCACUUUGAGGCUUCAUAUUUUUCAGUUCCCACAAGCCGCAUCGCCCGGGAGGGAAUUCGACUCAAGCCCCCAAGAGCCGGAGGAAAAGCCAGACCUACGGACUUGGUGAAGGGGAGGGGGACCCUGGAAGCACCUCCCGUGGGAUUGGCACAAGCUGUCAGAGCCCAGAGGGGCUGGAAGAAUGGACUGGGCCGGACACCUCCCUGGGCCCCUGGGUGCACAAGCAGAUAAGCAGCCCAAGGCACACUCCCAGACAUAACCAGCUGGUCGAUCCCUGCUGAGGGCUCCGUGGGGUACCCUUCUCAUGCCAACCUCAAUAUCGAUUGGACUGACUUAUUCUAAUCCGUUGUUUCUAAGAAAACUGGGCCCCAGAUGGGUGCAUGGAAGCCAGCAAAGGCUGCCGCUGCUUGCAUUGACCACCGAGUGCACGAGUGGCAGUCCGGUGAAUUCUGGGCAAGGACACGAAGUCUUCAUGUUGCCAAGAUGAGUAACGAUUAGCUGAUGCUGGGACAUUCAGAAACCACCACUUCUCAAAGGCUCCUUCCCUUCUCUCCAGCCUUAUGGGUUAUCUGACUGUUUAAAGUGUGGGGAGACACUAGAAAGCACAGUGAGCUUGUGAUGAUGUUAGGAAUGAAGGUCGUCCGAAGAAGAACAUAGUUUGGUCUCAGAGCUUCUACUUUGUGGUUUGGGUAUUGGCUGUGACUUCUGUGGUUCCUCCUCUAGAUUAGUGAAAGAUGGUUAACUUCACUUGUGUUUAUUCUUAGUUCUCACACUGUUACACUCUUUGGGGUUUUAAUGGCAGCCCUGGGCCCACACGCAAAGAUUAAGAUGAAAUAAAUGGUUUAGGAAAACAGUUUUCUAUGGACCAAGCUUGUCUAUACAUUGCUUUCUCUCCCUAAAAUGAUUCCUUUCAGAAGUGAGAUAUUACUUCACAAUUUACCUGUGAAAUACUUUAUUCCGACCCCAUUUGGGGUCAGUGGGAACCUUUCCAAGUGCAAAAGUAAGGAGGGGGCUGUGAUUCAUACCCACAAGAUCCCCCCCUACAGAGGAUGGGGCCUGGGUCAUCAGGAUGCGGGAUAAUCAAGUUGGACGCAGACUGUGCCCCAUAUAGGGCUCACAGUCUAGGUAGGAGGGAGAACAGAUAUUUCAUUCCUAUUUUGCAGAUGGGGUAACCGAAGCCCAAGUUCACACAUCAAGCAAGUGGCAGAGGUGGGAUUAGAGCCCAGGUUCCCUAAAUCCCAGGUCCGGGCUCUCUCCAUUAGGCAUGCUGCUUCUCCAUCAGGUGAUUCCUGGCUUGGGCUAGGAGACCAUGUUUCCAGGCCCAUUUCAGCGUGGGCUUUGGGGGAGAGGGAGCUAGGUAAAUAGGAUUCGUUACUUGAGCG
rnacentral:lncRNA from 1 species